GUUCUUGGUAGGCACACUGUUCUACUAAAGUGUACUAUCUGUUCUUAUGGGUCUAAUAUCUGAUGCGGGUUGUAUUUGGACCCAAGAUAUUAAACUUAUUUUUGCAAGUUGGCGGAGUGCUUGAAGACUGCUUCCCCUCCGCCGUGGGUCGGCCCGGUAUUGUACUAUCUGCGGGAUCGGCCCACGGGGA